rnacentral:rRNA from 1 species
UACGGAGGGGGCUAGCGUUGUUCGGAAUUACUGGGCGUAAAGCGCACGUAGGCGGAUCAGUCAGUCAGGGGUGAAAUCCCGGGGCUCAACCCCGGAACUGCCUUUGAAACUGCUGGUCUGGAGGUCGAGAGAGGCGAGUGGAAUUCCCGGUGUAGUGGUGAAAUGCGUAGAGAUCGGGAGGAACACCUGUGGCGAAGGCGGCCGACUGGGCCGACCCUGACGCUGAGGCGCGAAGGCGUGGGGAGCGAACGGG